rnacentral:rRNA from 1 species
AAUCAACGCUGGCGGCGUGCCUAACACAUGCAAGUCGAACGGGAAGGGGGGCUUCGGCUCUCCGGAGAGUGGCGCACGGGUGAGUAACACGUGGGUAAUCUGCCUUUGGGUGGGGAAUAACGAUUCGAAAGGGUCGCUAAUACCGCAUAACGCAGCGGCACCGCAUGGUGACAGUUGUUAAAGCGGGGGAUCGAAAGACCUCGCGCCUGAAGAGGAGCCCGCGCCCGAUUAGCUUGUUGGUGAGGUAAUGGCUCACCAAGGCUUCGAUCGGUAGCCGGCCUGAGAGGGCGGUCGGCCACACUGGCACUGAGACACGGGCCAGACUCCUACGGGAGGCAGCAGUGGGGAAUUUUGGGCAAUGGGCGAAAGCCUGACCCAGCAACGCCGCGUGAAGGACGAAAUCCCUCUGGGAUGUAAACUUCGAAAGUCAGGAAAGAAAUCGAGGGGGUUAAUAACCCUUUUGGAUGACGGUACCUGACGUAAGCCCCGGCUAACUACGUGC